GCAGUAUCAUUGGCACUAGGAGAAGGACUUGGGGUAGUUUCAUUGGCACUAGGAGAAGGACUUGGGGUAGUUUCAUUGGCACUAGGAGAAGGACUUGGGGUAGUUUCAUUGGCACUAGGAGAAGGACUUGGGGUAGUUUCAUUGGCACUAGGAGAAGGACUUGGGGUAGUUUCAUUGGCACUAGGAGAAGGACUUGGGGUAGUUUCAUUGGCACUAGGAGAAGGACUUGGGGUAGUUUCAUUGGCACUAGGAGAAGGACUUGGGGUAGUUUCAUUGGCACUAGGAGAAGGACUUGGGGCAGUUUAGAGUUGAUUUUUUGAUGAUUAGUAUCAUUGGCGCUAGGAGAAGGACUUGGGGCAGUAUCAUUGGCACUAGGAGAAGGACUUGGGGCAGUUUCAUUGGCACUAGGAGAAGGACUUGGGGCAGUUUCAUUGGCACUAGGAGAAGGACUUGGGGCAGUUUCAUUGGCACUAGGAGAAGGACUUGGGGCAGUUUCAUUGGCACUAGGAGAUAGGAGAAGGACUUGGGGCAGUGUCAUUGGCUUUAGGAGGAGGACUUGGAGCAACUUUCACCUCAGCAACUACAGAAAAAUGGCCUUGCACUCUGGUUUCACAAAUAUUUCCAUCCUUAACAUGGCCAAAUUGG
rnacentral:lncRNA from 1 species